rnacentral:rRNA from 1 species
UAGGGAAUCUUCGGCAAUGGACGAAAGUCUGACCGAGCAACGCCGCGUGAGUGAAGAAGGUUUUCGGAUCGUAAAACUCUGUUGGUAGAGAAGAACGUUGGCGAGAGUGGAAAGCUCAUCAAGUGACGGUAACUACCCAGAAAGGGACGGCUAACUACGCCCCAG